rnacentral:rRNA from 1 species
AGUGAACGCUGGCGGUAGGCCUAACACAUGCAAGUCGAACGGCAGCACAGUAAGAGCUUGCUCUUACGGGUGGCGAGUGGCGGACGGGUGAGUAAUACAUCGGAAUCUACUUUUUCGUGGGGGAUAACGUAGGGAAACUUACGCUAAUACCGCAUACGACCUACUGGUGAAAGCAGGGGAUCUUCGGACCUUGCGCGAUUGAAUGAGCCGAUGUCGGAUUAGCUAGUUGGCGGGGUAAAGGCCCACCAAGGCGACGAUCCGUAGCUGGUCUGAGAGGAUGAUCAGACACACUGGAACUGAGACACGGUCCAGACUCCUACGGGAGGCAGCAGUGGGGAAUAUUGGACAAAGGGCGAAAGCCUGAUCCAGCCAUACCGCGUGGGUGAAGAAGGACUUCGGGUUGUAAAGCCAUUUUGUUGGGAAAGAAAAGAAGCAGGUUAAUACCCCGCUGUUCUGACGGUACCCAAAGAAUAAGCACCGGCUAACUUCGUG